UCAAAUAACGGGGAAAAUAGAUGGUAUAUUGGCUUGAGGUAAUGCUUAUCAAUGUUGGCUUAUAAUCUCUGUGAAUCAAGGAACCCCUUUGUAGAAUAUGCAGUGCAAUAUGCUGUAGCAGCAGCCCUUGCGACAUUGGAAAAGGAUAAGAACGAUUUGUUACACAAACUACUUUUACAAGGUCUUGACAUUACAAUCUUAGGUUGCAAUGACUUCUAUUCAUAUUGGAAUCAGGUGGGGUUUAUCAUGUGAGAUUGGAAAAGGGAAAGUUGGCAGUGGUUUUGAUGUUAGUUCUGCAGUUUAUGGUAAGUCAACGAUAUGUUCGCUUUUCACCAGAAUUGCUUUCUUCUGCUCAGGAUGCUGUUUUUUUUGAAUGAAUAAAAUUGCAGGAUGUAAUUAAAGGAAAAGCGAGAAGUCAUUGGUGAUGUGCUGAAUGGCAAAUGGGACCAUAAGAGGACUACAUAUUGAAUCCCUUAGUAGUUGGUAUUGUUUUUUUCCUUAAGAGCACUACUAAAAAAUUGACUUUUUGCAUCUUUCUUUUUUUUUUCUUUUUUCUUUUUUUUCAUUUUUGCGACUGUCUGUUUUGCCGUGGCAAAAAAUAUAUUUGCGACAGCAUUAUGAGACGCAAGUCAGGGGUGGUAAAAGGUCCAGUUUAUGAGUGGGCUUUAUAUUUGCCCCCAUUUAUUU